rnacentral:rRNA from 1 species
UACGUAGGAGGCGAGCGUUGUCCGGAGUUACUGGGCGUAAAGGGUGCGCAGGCGGCGGUUCGCGUGGAUAGAUGAAAUCUCCUGGCUUACCUGGGAGGAUGGUAUCCAGACGGGAUCGCUUGAGGGUCGGAGAGGGGCGUGGAAUUCCGGGUGGAGCGGUGAAAUGCGUAGAGAUCCGGAGGAACACCAGUGGCGAAGGCGGCUCACUGGCUCGUAACUGACGCUCAUGCACGACAGCGUGGGGAUCAAACAGG